rnacentral:rRNA from 1 species
UACGAAGGGGGGCUAGCGUUGCUCGGAAUCACUGGGCGUAAAGCGCACGUAGGCGGAUUGUUAAGUCAGGGGGUGAAAUCCUGGAGCUCAACUCCAGAACUGCCUUUGAUACUGGCGAUCUUGAGUUCGGGAGAGGUGAGUGGAACUGCGAGUGUAGAGGUGAAAUUCGUAGAUAUUCGCAAGAACACCAGUGGCGAAGGCGGCUCACUGGCCCGGAUACUGACGCUGAGGUGCGAAAGCGUGGGGAGCAAACAGGGAUUAAGAA